rnacentral:rRNA from 1 species
GGGCCCGCACAAGCGGUGGAGCAUGUGGUUUAAUUCGAUGAUACGCGAGGAACCUUACCAGGGCUUAAAUGUAGAGCGACAGAGGUGGAAACACCUCCUUCUUCGGACGGUCUACAAGGUGCUGCAUGGUUGUCGUCAGCUCGUGCUGUGAAGUGUCGGGUUAAGUCCCAUAACGAGCGCAACCCCUAUUUCUAGUUGCCAGCGGUUCGGCCGGGGACUCUAGAGAAACUGCCAGCGUAAGCUGUGAGGAAGGUGGGGAUGACGUCAAAUCAUCACGGCCCUUACGUCCUGGGCCACACACGUGCUACAAUGGUGGAGACAGAGAGUUGCCAACCCGCGAGGGUGAGCUAAUCUUCAAACUCCAUCUCAGUUCGGAUCGAAGUCUGCAACUCGACUUCGUGAAGUUGGAAUC